UUAAAUUGUAAAUCUUUGCGCAAUUCAACCCUCGGGUUGCAAGGCAAAUUUUCAUGAAACGAUCCUUAUUAGCCAACUUGUUGUAUUAUGUGUUAUAUACUGCAUGUUUAUAUUUAUUUUCUUUCACGAUAUAGUUCACAGGUACAUGUAUACUGAAUACAUGUAUUACUAACAUCAAAUGUCGUCCGUAUAUAUAAACCCCCUAUAUGUAAACCCAUCCCUACCCCAUGUAUAAGCCCAUCAAAAUAUGCUUAAAGGGAUACGGCAAUAUAUUUUUUUAUUAUUUCAUUUGGAAGAACUUUAAAAUUAUAUGUUAAUCUCUUUUACCGAUUUUGCGUAACUUUAUUAUUUCUUGAGAUAUUUGAACAGAAAAAUCACAAAUCAGCGAGCUAUCCGCCAUCUUGGAUUUUGGCGGAUAUGCAUGUGACAUCAUAAGCAGGGUCACGCAAGAAUUUUAUCCAUAGAGCAAUUGGUUAUUAUGAGCCCAAAAUCAUAUACUUCAGUAACUAUUUGAAAUAAAAAACUGUCUGACGACUUUUCAAACAAGACAUAAUGUUAUUUGGUCAUUUAGAUGUAGUUUUAUAUGGCUAACCCUGCUUAUGACGUCACUAAAAUCACCGAUAAUGAGAUAAAAAUUAAUCCAAGAUGGCGGACAGCAAAUUAUUUUAAGUCAAAAUAUUUCAAGAAAUAAUAAAGUUACGCAAAAUCGGCAAAGGAG